GCCAACGUCUGCUAACGUCAAAAUUGUCUAUUUCCCCCCGUCAGCUAAGGAGUACAAAGUACCUAUAUUAUAGUCUUUCUUUUCCUCUUAGUGUCACCUUAGUUAGACUUGUAGUUACUUGUCUCAUCAUUCUGGAUUUACGCAACGACGACAUUUGGUGUUGCACGUUUCUUCGCUGUUUUAUUGUCCUUUGUAUAGAGCGUAAGUUCUUCUAAUAGACCAACAUAUCUGCGAGCAAGGAUCUGCUUAGGGACAGUGAGAGUGAGACAUCAGCGAAUACAACAACGGAACCAUAUCCAAAUUGUAGCACAAAACUUGUACAGCUGUGAUACCUCCCAAACACCUAUGCAGUUUGGAAUGCUUGUCAGGCGAAUGCAGAUUAAUGUAAAAGAUGUCAAAUGUUAGACAUGUGGAAAAGGCCUGAUAGGAUGUGUGGGCGCCUUUGGUAACAUAGAUUGGAACUUAUGAUUUUUCAUGUUGGCUACACCAAGGCAGUAAUAACUGUGCUGCAAACAAUCUGCAAAACAUGCUUGUCUGUCCAUCUCAGUGAUGAGAUGGCAAAUUUGUUGAGUAAAUCUGACUAAGGAAGCAAAUCUGAGAAGUGUUCCUAAAAGUAACUUGUCCCAGUGUGAUUUUCAUAGCAAUCCAUCAUUUGUUCCAAAGAUUUUUUUAUGAAGCUACAACAUAGAAGGUCUUGACCCAGUAAGCAUCAUACAGGGAGCUCCUAUUUAUGAAAGGAACUUUCUUCAGUAUUGAUACUGGGAUAAAUGACUUUGUUCUCAUCAACUUUCAGUUUAAAGAAACCAUUAACUCCUCAAAGACCACAAGUACACCUGUUACCACCACCCGGUUCCAAAUCGAUGAUUGCUUGGAUUCUAGAAAAAAACAAUGCUCGUGACUCGGUGUCGCCAACGUGAUACAAAGUUAUUCAACUCUUUACAUCAAACCUGUUGAGAAGGAUGCCCCAGGCUGGACACUAUUACUCCAAUUGAAAAUGAAUGGACACAGUUCAUUUAUAGCACUCAUGCAAGAUGCAACCACCAUUUAGACAUCUUAAAAACGUAUUUUAGGAUAUGCAAACUAUGGCACUUAAUUUUUAUAUAAUACUUCGCAUGUUUGUCGCAUAUGAAAAAGAAUAAAAAUGGAAUGUGAUGCCUAGGUAGCAUAAUGAGGUCAGAAGAUUGCCCAACAUCUAUGGAAAAAUGACUUGAUUGAUGAACCAGCUAUAUUUAGCAGGUUGGCUUUAUUGGAGAACUGUUAAACAUUUGAUAUUCAUAAUGUUCGCAAGGCUUUUAAGAAAAUAGUUUUCAUUGCACUGGCGACAAUUCGGAAUGGCGAGGUGCGAAUGAAUCGGAUUAAAAGUCAGCGUGGAAAUGCAAUAGUUCCGCAGCUGGCAAGAAAUGAGAGGACGAUUGGUGAUGAGACAAUUUAUUCUAAUCGCUGUAACUCAUGGACACGUCGACAUUCGUGGUAAUCAAACUUAGAACGUCUGCAAUGCGAAAUUUUUCACCAAUAUAAAGGAAAGCUGCAAACAUAUUUUCAGCAUUUUUAAUAAAAAAAUAAGCGCGUUCAUUCCCUUCAACCAAUUGUCAACGCGAGGCCCCGUAGGAACCUUCCAUACGUCACUUUUAUUGUAGCUGACAGUGACUGUAAUUAUGGCUUACUUAGCCCAUGCUUAUCCAGAGCUGCCUUGUUGAUCCCCGCCCUAAAAACUAUCAUCUUCAAAAGCUUCCAGGUUUGUUGUGGUCGUAGAACAGCAGACGACGAAGUUCAAAGCGGCAUUGUACCAUCGGGCAGAAUCCAAACGGUUGAUGCAUUGAAAAUGUCGGAGCUCUGUUGAUGAAUUUUCACCAGCACUCUUCCACAAGACGCGCGCGAAGCAAACGAUAGCGAAGGAGAUAUGGACUUGAAUUGGUUGUUUACCACCCGUGGCUUUCCCGCAUCCCAGGAUUAGUCUUGUACACCUUUUGCACUUGUACAGAGCGUUCGGGAACGAAAUUAGUUGUGGAUGGGUUUGCUGUUGACAAGCAAGGGAAGGAUUUUUACUACCAAACUAGAUAGGAAUGAAAUUUGUUGUGGCUGGUUUGUUUGUUGACAAGCAAGGGAAGGAUUUUUUUACCAAAGUAGACAGGAUAUUUAUUCUUAAUCCCACAAUGUCUUGACUACAAAUCAUGCUGAAUUAGAAUAGUAUGUUGAUCGAGGCUGGGUGCCAAAGCAAUGGAUGAUAAUUGUAAGCGCGAUUGGAAAUAUCCAUGAUUUAUUAACGUUC
rnacentral:lncRNA from 1 species